rnacentral:rRNA from 1 species
UGCAGUCGAACGGUAACAGGCCUUCGGGCGCUGACGAGUGGCGGACGGGUGAGUAACGCGUAGGAAUCUGCCUCAUAGUGGGGGACAACGUGGGGAAACUCACGCUAAUACCGCAUACGCCCUACGGGGGAAAGCGGGGGAUCUUCGGACCUCGCGCUAUGAGAUGAGCCUGCGUUAGAUUAGCUAGUUGGUAGGGUAAAGGCCUACCAAGGCGACGAUCUAUAGCUGGUCUGAGAGGACGAUCAGCCACACUGGGACUGAGACACGGCCCAGACUCCUACGGGAGGCAGCAGUGGGGAAUAUUGGACAAUGGGCGAAAGCCUGAUCCAGCAAUACCGCGUGUGUGAAGAAGGCCUUAGGGUUGUAAAGCACUUUCAAUUGGGAGGAAAACCUACCGGUCAAUACCCGGUAGCUUGACAUUACCUUUAGAAGAAGCACCGGCUAACUCCGUGCCAGCAGCCGCGGUAAUACGGAGGGUGCGAGCGUUAAUCGGAAUUACUGGGCGUAAAGCGUGCGUAGGCGGUUCGUUAAGUCAGAUGUGAAAGCCCUGGGCUCAACCUGGGAACUGCAUUUGAAACUGGCGGACUAGAGUU